rnacentral:tRNA from 1 species
AAAGCUUUAAGUUAAAAAAACUAAUAACCUUCAAAGUUAUUAAUACAAGAUAUUUGUAAGCUUUA